rnacentral:tRNA from 1 species
GACAAAAUAACUCAGUGGUAGAGCAAUCGACUGCAGAUCGAGAGAUCACUGGUUCAAAUCCGGGUGUCC